AGUGGACCUCGGGUGAUGCUCCCUGGAAUUGGGCUCCUUCCUCUCUGGUCCUGGGUGCAUCAUCGGAGAACCACA
rfam:Myotis brandtii contig318509, whole genome shotgun sequence.